GGCAGUGGUGGCUUGGCGGUUAAGGCUCUGGGUUGCUGUUCAGAGGGUCGGGGGUUCAAAUCCCAGCACUGCCA